UACGGAGGGUGCAAGCGUUGUCCGGAUUUAUUGGGCUUAAAGGGCGCGUAGGCGGCUAUUUAAGUCAGUGGUGAAAUCCUGCAGCUUAACUGUAGAAUUGCCAUUGAUACUGGAUAGCUUGAGUACAGACGAGGUAGGCGGAAUUUAUGGUGUAGCGGUGAAAUGCAUAGAUACCAUAAAGAACACCUAUUGCGAAGGCAGCUUACUAGGCUGUAACUGACGCUGAGGCACGAAAGUGUGGGGAUCAAACAGG
rnacentral:rRNA from 1 species